UUGCAGGUCAAUCUUCUGAAGAGUGAGGUACCAAUGGUUAGGGUUGCGAGUUUACAUUCCAACAUGUUUCGACUGUGGAGUUGUUAUGGGACUCCUGUAUCUUCUGCCUUCCGCUGCAAGAUUUUUUUUUUCUUGAGCCAACCCAUGAGGUUACGUAAUAUGUAAGGUACUAUUUAAUUCUGGAUCAAUACGAUGUAAUAUACUUUUGACCUUUGUAUCUUGAUAUUACAUCUUGAAACUGUGUGUGC
rnacentral:lncRNA from 1 species